CACUCAAUUUAUACUUGCACGCUACACUACCGCGGUAUUCGAGAUGUAUUUUAUCAUUAUAUAAUAUUAUUAUUAUUCAUUUUUCUCGACGACAUUUCGAUUUGAAUUGCGUUACAAUGCAUACCUAUUAAUGUGUAUGUGCCGCACGCGAACGAAAUGAAAACGUAUGUCAGAGUCAAAGGAGAAGGUUAUGCGUAACGAUCGCGUUAGAGGUCAAAAAGUCUGCGCAGGCGCACAUAGUACCUACCUACGUGUAUGUGAUCCGUACAAAAAGUCCCAGUCGAACGCGAGCGGGAGCAUUAUCCUGUGACUUUUGGCGAAUCGAUAAAAUUGUAUCGGAUGUGUCACCACUGCACCACAUGAAGGAUGCAUCAUCAGUUUUGAGUGAAAAUCCGAACAAAAUCAAUAAAAUUCCAAAUGUUAUGUAUAUAUAGGUAUAAUAUUAUGUAUAGGUACCUACAACAAGAGGCAAAAGGCGGGUAAGAGUUGAGAGCUGAGCGCAAAAAGGAAUGUUUCAAAAAAUAAAUGUUGAGAUGAAAAAAUAAAUAAAGGCACUCUCAUACACGAGUA